GAGGAUCUUCGGACAGUGCCGAGCGGCUCCCAGUCACGGACGGCUGCGGCACCUUCCUGUGUGUACAGCGCAGUGGUUUUUGCCUGGUUCACACUCUGCACAACCGCGGUCUCCUGUGGCUCAGGGUCCCAGUGUCCAUUAUCAGUUAUGUUUGUCCAGCAACCUCAAGGGACCUCAGAGGGCACGUGAGAAGCAGGCAGCUUGCUUGGAAGGGCGAGAGCCAGUGCUGCUUGCUGUCUACCUACUUGCUGAGAACCCAGCCUCAGGAGCCCCUCCUGGCCCACCUGUCCAGUUUACUCCUGUCUCACUGAAUGGCACACCCGGGAGCCCCCCUGCAGGUAAGAGGCAGUAUCACCAGCCCCCGGAGCAGGGCCAGGGCCCCCACCCUUAAAGGAAGCCCCACCCUCCCAAGGUUUCCACCUAAC
rnacentral:lncRNA from 1 species